rnacentral:rRNA from 1 species
CCUACGGGUGGCAGCAGUGAGGAAUAUUGGUCAAUGGACGAGAGUCUGAACCAGCAAAGUAGCGUGAAGGAUGACUGCCCUAUGGGUUGUAAACUUCUUUUAUAUGGGAAUAAAAUGUUCCACGUGUGGGAUUUUGUAUGUACCAUAUGAAUAAGGAUCGGCUAACUCCGUGCCAGCAGCCGCGGUAAUACGGAGGAUGCGAGCGUUAUCCGGAUUUAUUGGGUUUAAAGGGAGCGUAGGUGGAUUGUUAAGUCUGUUGUGAAAGUUUGCGGCUCAAACGUAAAAUUGCAGUUGAAACUGGCAGUCUUGAGUACAGUAGAGGUAGGCGGAAUUCGUGGUGUAGCGGUGAAAUGCUUAGAUAUAACGAAGAACUCCGAUAGCGAAGGCAGUUCACUGGACUGCAACUGACACUGAGGCUCGAGAGUGUGGGUAUCAAACAGGAUUAGAUACCCUGGUAGUC